GAGAAAUGGAGGAGGCGGCGGUCCUGUUCGCCCUCGGCGCCUGGGCCGAACGAGGAUGCCCCACUCUGCACGUCGUCCACGAGCAGCUGCCAAAUCCUACCAGAGGGCAACGCCUAGCGGCAGAUCGGCUGUUGUGUGUGAGAACUAGGAGGAUGACCCAGAUAUGGAGAUGAAUGGAAUGCAGAAGAGAAGGUGUGUGGGGAAGAAGAGGAGACCUCAGGCCAAUCGGGUCAAUACCUGAUUUUCUGGGUCAAACACCAUCUCUUAAAUUUCUGUAUGUGUUACUGUAUCGCAAAGAAAUCCAGAGCAGACUGCAGAACAACAGCAAGUGCAGCUCAGUGUGCAUUGGCUUAGUUUCAGUUUGUCCUACAUCUAUGAACUGUUUGUUAAUCCUUUGAAUUGCAUGGCUCUGGCCAUGGAGUUGCUGAGAGGCGACAAUGAAGUUUGCCAUGUCCAGGUUGUUGUGUCCCCAAUUCAUUCCCUUCAUUAUGAAUUCAAUUCAUACGUGCAAUCCAGAUGCGACUUGACCCUUUCGUGUGUUAUAUGUUCUCAGCUCGACGACGGCCUUCUUUUCAGAUGGAUACAUGGAGCUCUGGCCAUGGAGUUGCCGGGAGGUGACAACGAAGCCUACCAUGUCGGGGUUGUUCUGUCCCCAUCCCUUCCCUCCAAUUCUGGAUUCAAUUCAUACAUGCAAUCCAGAUGUGAGUUGACUCUUUCAUGUGUUAUGUGUUCUCUGCUUGUUUGGUGACUAGGGAAACAUCAAACAUGAGUACAUGACAUUCAGGCCAGCAAGGAGUACGAUAUGUUCAAUAUUAUGGCAUAAGAGGUGUAAUACUGACUCAUAUUGCUUGGGAUGAUGAGCGCAAGCCUUGCGUGCUGAAACGACACAACUUCUUUGAUGGGUACCGGAGUAUAAAGUGCACGGU